GCUCAUGGCUCAGGAUGAACGCUGGCGGCGUGCUUAACACAUGCAAGUCGAACGGGAAACCUUUUAUUGAAGCUUCGGCAGAUUUAGCUGGUUUCUAGUGGCGGACGGGUGAGUAACGCGUGGGUAACCUGCCUUGUACAGGGGGAUAACAGUCAGAAAUGACUGCUAAUACCGCAUAAGCGCACAGGACCGCAUGGUCCGGUGUGAAAAACUCCGGUGGUAUAAGAUGGACCCGCGUUGGAUUAGCUUGG
rnacentral:rRNA from 1 species